rnacentral:sRNA from 1 species
UAUUCUGCCCCACGGGGAAGGAUGAGAAGCUUCGACUAAGGUUCGACUCGAGCGAAGCGAGAGAACGUUGCCGCAGGCAACGGCCCGAAGGGUGAGGCGCUUUAGCGCCGAGUAAUCCUUCCCCCACCACUG